rnacentral:rRNA from 1 species
UACGUAGGGCGCAAGCGUUGUCCGGAAUUAUUGGGCGUAAAGAGCUCGUAGGUGGCUUGUCGCGUCUGCCGUGAAAGCCCAUGGCUUAACUGUGGGUCUGCGGUGGAUACGGGCAGGCUAGAGUUCGGUAGGGGAGACUGGAAUUCCCGGUGUAGCGGUGAAAUGCGCAGAUAUCGGGAGGAACACCGGUGGCGAAGGCGGUUCUCUGGGCCUGUACUGACGCUGAGGAGCGAAAGCGUGGGGAGCGAACAGG